UUCACAACGCGCUUUGGUCAUAGUUAAACAGAUGAGACCACGACCGUGUGUCGCCAUAAAGUUAAUGGCUUCAGGGGUAAUCUGCUCAGCGGCCAUAAUAA
rnacentral:antisense_RNA from 1 species